CCUAACACAUGCAAGUCGAACGGGAAGCGGUGCAUAUUGCUUCGGUGAUAAUGUGCCGUGGAGAGUGGCGAACGGGUGCGUAACACGUAGGUAACCUGCCCUGAAAGGGGGGAUAACCACGGGAAACUGUGGCUAAUACCGUAUAAUCUCGCCGUGGCGGUGGUUACGGUGAGGAAAGCUGAGGCGAUUUGGGAGGGGCCUGCGGUCGAUUAGCUGGUUGGUGGGGUAAAGGCCCACCAAGGCGAUGAUCGAUAGCUGUUCUGAGAGGAAGACCAGCCACACGGGAACUGAGACACGGUUCCGACUCCUACGGGGGGCAGCAGUGAGGAAUAUUGCGCAAUGGGGGGAACCCUGACGCAGCAACGCCGCGUGGAGGACGAAGGUUUUCGGAUUGUAAACUCCUUAACUGGGGGAAGAGAGAGGACGGUACCCCAGGACGAAGACACGGCUAACUAGGUGCCAGCAGCCGCGGUAAUACCUAGGUGUCGAGCGUUAUCCGGAAUUACUGGGCGUAAAGGGGUGCGCAGGCGGUGUUACAAGUCCGGCGUGAAAGCUUCUGGCUUAACUGGGAAG
rnacentral:rRNA from 1 species